rnacentral:rRNA from 1 species
UACGUAGGCAGCAAGCGUUGUUCGGAAUUACUGGGCGUAAAGAGUGUGUAGGCGGUGCUCUAAGUUCGGUGUGAAAUCUCCCGGCUCAACUGGGAGGGUGCGCCGAAAACUGGGGUGCUGGAGCGCGGGAGAGGAAAGCGGAAUUCCUGGUGUAGCGGUGAAAUGCGUAGAUAUCAGGAGGAACACCGGCGGUGUAGACGGCUUUCUGGACCGUAGCUGACGCUCAGGUGCGAAAGCGUGGGGAGCGAACCGG